ACAAGUUAAAUGUUGGGACGAUUAUAAAUAUGAAAUAUUAGACCAUUUGUGGGCUUGCAUCACGGAGAAGUGGUCAUUUGAUGACCCUGAAAAUAGGCGAGAGUGUGUUAUGAAACAUGCACAACGUUUAUUUGGAGGUGCUAGGAUCAAAUUGAAAUCAAAGUACUUAAAUGAUUAAAACUUGAAAACAAAAGAAGAACGUCUCAAAAAUAAGCCUAGUCAUCUAACUAAAGUGGAAUGGAAGUUCUUGGUUGACUAUUGGAGUGAAGAGGCGGUUAUGG